rnacentral:rRNA from 1 species
AUGGCUAAUCUCCUGCAUUGGGAUCUCAACCCGAGCCGCCAGGUGGCCAAACAGGUUCGUUCAAAGUUCGGAUCCACGGUCCACUUUGCCAACUCUCCCCAUGACAAGGAGUUUUUCUUGGUGGUCUCUUUCUCCUAUGCCUCCUUCCGACUGACAAAUGAAUCUAUUGGCCUGGUUCUUCACUGUUGCAUUGGUGGUUCUGCACUGGUUUCAACAUAA